UACGUAGGGUGCGAGCGUUAAUCGGAAUUACUGGGCGUAAAGCGCACGUAGGCGGAUCUGCAAGUCAGAGGUGAAAUCCCAGGGCUCAACCUUGGAACUGCCUUUGAAACUGCGGGUCUUGAGUUCGAGAGAGGUGAGUGGAAUUCCGAGUGUAGAGGUGAAAUUCGUAGAUAUUCGGAGGAACACCAGUGGCGAAGGCGGCUCACUGGCUCGAUACUGACGCUGAGGUGCGAAAGCGUGGGGAGCAAACAGG
rnacentral:rRNA from 1 species